GAUGAACGCUGGCGGCGUGCCUAAUACAUGCAAGUCGAGCGAACGGACGAGAAGCUUGCUUCUCUGAUGUUAGCGGCGGACGGGUGAGUAACACGUGGAUAACCUACCUAUAAGACUGGGAUAACUUCGGGAAACCGUAGCUAAUACCGGAUAAUAUUUUGAACCGCAUGGUUCAAAAGUGAAAGACGGUCUUGCUGUCACUUAUAGAUGGAUCCGCGCUGCAUUAGCUAGUUGGUAAGGUAACGGCUUACCAAGGCAACGAUGCAUAGCCGACCUGAGAGGGUGAUCGCCCACACUGGAACUGAGCCACGCUCCAGCCUCCUACGGGAGGCAGCCGUAGGGAAUCUUCCGCAAUGGGCGAAAGCCUGACGGAGCAACACCGCGUGAGUGAUGAAGGGCUUCGGAUCGUAAAACUCUGUUAUUAGGGAAGAACAUAUGUGUAAGUAACUGUGCACAUCUUGCCGGUACCUAAUCAGAAAGCCACGGCUAACUACGUG
rnacentral:rRNA from 1 species